GUGCUUUGCAAUAUUGAAGUCAUCUUCUCCAUUUCAAUCCCAACAACUAAACGUUCGAAGGUAAACGCCGGAAAAUGGGAGCAGCAAGCAAGGCAGGGGACUUGGUGUUUAAGGCCUUCGUAGGGGGGCUCGGCGUCACCACCAUUUAUCUGACGGCGACAUUUUCCGUCAACGUCUACCGUGGUCUCUCUUGGCAUAAAGCCCAAUCGAAAAAUGAGAAAGAAGGAUCUGUAGUUCAGCAGGAAGAAUGACCCGUCUUCAAGUCCUACCCUUGGUCAUCGUGUUGCUAGCUGAGGUCCUGCCAGAAAUUUCGGAGUAUAUUUGAAUCUUGUCGCAUUAUGUAACGACUCUUUCACAGUUUUUCCAUAGGAUACUUAAAACACAGCAGCACUUCAUAAUCUUCUCCAUCCAACAAACAAAUUGGAUGGACGGUAUGUCAUGUUUAUUCAUUUUCCAUUGCUAUAUUGUUGCUGAAAUUCUCCACAACGA